UACGUAGGGUGCAAGCGUUAAUCGGAAUUACUGGGCGUAAAGCGUGCGCAGGCGGUGAUGUAAGACAGUUGUGAAAUCCCCGGGCUCAACCUGGGAACUGCAUCUGUGACUGCAUUGCUGGAGUGCGGCAGAGGGGGAUGGAAUUCCGCGUGUAGCAGUGAGAUGCGUAGAUAUGCGGAGGAACACCGAUGGCGAAGGCAAUCCCCUGGGCCUGCACUGACGCUCAUGCACGAAAGCGUGGGGAGCAAACAGG
rnacentral:rRNA from 1 species